UAGAUGGCUCAGUUGGUUGAGCUUGAGACUUCGAAUCACUGGGUUGUGGGUUCAAGCCCCACAUUGGGCAAAA